CCUACGGGUGGCAGCAGUGGGGAAUAUUGCACAAUGGGGGAAACCCUGAUGCAGCGACGCCGCGUGAGUGAGGAAGUAUCUCGGUAUGUAAAGCUCUAUCAGCAGGGAAGAAAAUGACGGUACGUGACUAAGAAGCCCCGUCUAACUACGUUCCAGCAGCCGCGGGUAGACGGAGGGGGCAAGCGUUAGCCGGAUUUACUUGGUGUAAAGGGAGAGUAGACGGAUAAUCAAGUCAGGAGUGAAAACCCAGGGCUCAACCUUGGAACUGCUUUUGAAACUGAGUAGCUAGAGUGCAGGAGAGGUAAGCGGAAUUCCUAGUGUAGCGGUGAAAUGCGUAGAUAUUAGGAGGAACACCAGUGGCGAAGGCGGCUUACUGGACUGUAACUGACGUUGAGGCUCGAAAGCGUGGGGAGCAAACAGGAUUAGAUACCCGUGUAGUC
rnacentral:rRNA from 1 species